rnacentral:rRNA from 1 species
UGGCGAACGGGUGAGUAAUACGUGAGUAACCUACCUUUAACUCUGGGAUAAGCCUGGGAAACUGGGUCUAAUACCGGAUACGACCAAUCUCCGCAUGGAGUGUUGGUGGAAAGCGUUAUGUAGUGGUUAUAGAUGGGCUCACGGCCUAUCAGCUUGUUGGUGAGGUAACGGCUCACCAAGGCGACGACGGGUAGCCGGCCUGAGAGGGUGACCGGCCACACUGGGACUGAGACACGGUCCAG